rnacentral:rRNA from 1 species
UACGGGGGGGGCAAGCGUUGUUCGGAAUUACUGGGCGUAAAGGGCGCGUAGGCGGUUUGCUAAGUUGAAUGUGAAAACUCUGGGCUUAACCCAGAGCCUGCAUUCAAUACUGGCAGGCUAGAGUUCUGGAGGGGAUAGCGGAAUUCCUGGUGUAGCGGUGAAAUGCGUAGAUAUCAGGAGGAACACCGGUGGCGAAGGCGGGUCUCUGGGCCGAUACUGACGCUGAGGAGCGAAAGCGUGGGGAGCGAACAGG